GGAAAGAAUUCCAAAGCUCUGUGUGUGUUGGGAGAAGAGUUCAAUACAGAAAAGGAUAAGUAAAUAGAAAUAGAAACAGAAGCAGAAAUCCUUCCCUUCCUGGAGUUCACAUUUGAGUUGGCGUGGGAAGACUUGCUAACACACAACAAAAAGUAACCAAAACAAAGGAUCCAUGUGGAUACCUUGAAUCUGCAACAGAGUAUAUACAUUUGAGCAGGAGCUUGAGAUAAAGAAAACAGUAACUGUGGUGUACCAUUAGCAGACACCAAGAUCUCCAGUAUGACCCAAAGCUGCCAUUUGACAUUUCCAGAAUGGAAGCCAUAUUUCCCUGCUUGUCUGGAUGGCUUGUGUAUGGAUGGAAGGAGCGCAGCAGAAGGCAAUGCCAAAGGACCUGGCAACCAUUCCUAAGGAGUCAGGAAAACUCUGAAUAUU